rnacentral:lncRNA from 1 species
ACUCUGGCCCAUAUUAUAGAAGCUCCACUCUUAACCCUGACUCCACACCUACCAUUAACUCCUCCCGUGAAGACACUUUCAUGGUCAAGAGCAGGAAGUCCUUCAAGUAGCUCUGCAGGAGUUCCUGCUGCUGUGCCGUGGGGAACUGAGCAAGAUACAGGCCCAAGGGAGUUUUCUGGAAGAUUUCCACAAACUUUUUUGAUAAUCCUACAGAGAGGAAGACAAAGAGGCAUGAGCAAGAAACCACGUCUAUGGAAGAUAGUUACUGCCCCCAAAAGGAGCCAUUAUACCCAGGCUGGAGGGGUGGUGGCUCUGCUGAACUGGAGCCCAGGGAAAACAUGGUGCUCGCCACUGGCCAGAUGGUAGGGAAAACAAAGGCAGAACCAAUGUUGACGUUAGGUCACAAGCAGCCAGGCUAGCCCCGAGGGAAGAAGAGGCCUGGGAGCCACAUCUGUGCUGCAUGCACAGAGUGAGUAGGAAGGUGGGCUGCUCCUUGAGCUGGAGUCAGAGGCCACAGCAACUAGAGUCCUGCCUGCCCACAGCUCUGGUCACUUGUUGCCCUAGACAAGCAGGGGCAGAUGGACUGUAGUCAC